rnacentral:rRNA from 1 species
CUUGGUCAUUUAGAGGAAGUAAAAGUCGUAACAAGGUUUCCGUAGGUGAACCUGCGGAAGGAUCAUUAUUGAAAUAAACCUGAUGGGUUGUUUCUGGUUCUCUAGGGAGCAUGUGCACACCUUGUCAUCUUUAUAUCUCCACCUGUGCACUUUUUGUAGACCUUUCAGGUCUAUGUUGCUUCAUUUACCCCAAUGUAUGUUAAUAGAAUGUUGUGCCUAUAUAAUAUAUACAACUUUCAGCAACGGAUCUCUUGGCUCUCGCAUCGAUGAAGAACGCAGCGAAAUGCGAUAAGUAAUGUGAAUUGCAGAAUUCAGUGAAUCAUCGAAUCUUUGAACGCACCUUGCGCUCCUUGGUAUUCCGAGGAGCAUGCCUGUUUGAGUGUCAUUAAUAUAUCAACCUUCUCUUUUUUGAGUUGUUUGGAUGUGGGGGUUUGCUGGCCUCUUAAAUGAUUCAGCUCCCCUGAAAUGCAUUAGCAGAACAACCUGUUCAUUGGCGUGAUAAUUAUCUAUGCUAUUGAAUGUGAGGGCAGUUCAGCUUUCUAACCGUCCUCGGACAAUUCAUCAUUAAUGUGACCUCAAAUCAGGUAGGACUACCCGCUGAACUUAAGCAUAUCAAUAAGCGGAGGA